UAGCCUUGACAUACUACAGAAUUUGACAGAGAUGUUGGAGUGCCUUCGGGAGCUGUAAUACAGGUGCUGCACGGCUGUCGUCAGCUCGUGUCGUGAGAUGUUGGGUUAAGUCCCGCAACGAGCGCAACCCUCGUCCUUAGUUACUAACGGUUCGGCCGAGGACUCUAAGGAGACUGCCUUCGUAAGGAGGAGGAAGGUGAGGACGACGUCAAGUCAUCAUGGCCCUUACGGCUAGGGCAACACACGUGCUACAAUGGUUAGGACAAUGAGAAGCGAUACCGCGAGGUGGAGCAAAUCUCAAAACCUAUUCUCAGUUCGGAUAGCAGUCUGCAACUCGACUGCUUGAAGCUGGAAUCACUAGUAAUCGUAAAUCAGCUAUGUUACGGUGAAUACGUUCCCGGGUCU
rnacentral:rRNA from 1 species